rnacentral:ncRNA from 7 species
ACCCGUCUAGCUUAGUCGUUAGAGUGCAAGGCUCUUAACAUUGUGAUUGUUGUGGGUUCAAGCCGCACGGUGGGCG